rnacentral:lncRNA from 1 species
UCCGCAGUUACAUAUAUGCAUAUCUUAUGCUCAUUUGCCAGGCUUGACCAAAGUUUCGCCGUCCUUUUGGUGUCUAUUAUUUGUGUAAGUUUCAUCGCUUUAGAAGUAAUAUUCAAUCCAAAGAUUUUCUUCAGUAGAGCAAUUCAGCUAGUAUGUUUGCAAGCAAAUUUAUGCCAGGACAAGUACUAGUAGUGGAGCUAAGAACAUAUUAGGGCACGAUAUUUAAUGGAUUAUUCAAGUAGGAUCCUGGCAAACUUUGCUAUCAAUUCUGUUCCCAUAUCCUCCGGCAUGCGAAAUCCCCCCUCAAGAGGCGAGCCAUUAGUGUUUUGAUGUCUGAGCCUAUCUCCAUUUUUUGUGCUACAAUAUAGAUAGUUUACCAAGGUUAUUAGCUUAUAGCAGAUCUACCAUCUUCUCCUUUCAGGUUGGCAUCAUGGUUGGAAGAUCUUCUGUGCUACUCUCUACAUGAUGUUUCUUCUACAUGAUAGCACUUGACGUCUAUAUGAUAGCGCUUGAAGUCUACAUGAUGUUUCUUGUAUUCAUAGCUCAAACCAUUUGUUUAGCUUAGUUUGAACAAAAAAUAUUAUUGUCUUACAUGUAAAUAAUGUUUACUAAUGUAGCUGGAUGCUACUGAACGCAUGUACG